CUGAUUGGUAUCAUUGUCUAAGGUGCAUAGCAUAUUUUUGUAGGUGUUAUUGACUUUUAACAAUCUGUUGUUUUGUGUUUUUAUUUGAUGUAUUUCAUUUGUAUUCGCCUUUUAUCUGAUUUGUAUAUUGAACAGUUACACCGGUGUCCCAAUUUAGGGGAAGGGCUUGCGCCUUCAUUCGAGCUUUACCCCGUCACAAUAUGUACUAUGUGGUUGUCAAAAACCGGGAACCUGUAAUUCAGUGAUUUUUUUUUUUUUUUUGAUUUUUUUUUGUUGCUGUGUAAAAUUCGUUUUUCGUUCAUUAUGUUGUACAUAAUCUAGGACAUGUAGGAUGUUACUUUUCUCGUUUGAUCUGUUUUACAUCAGCUUUUUUUAAGCCUUUUACAGUUGACGAUGCGAUACGGGGUUUGCUUAUUGUUGCAGGCCUUAUGGUGACCUCUAAAUGCCCAUGUCUUUGUUUCAUGUGGAGAAUUGUUUCAUUGGCAAAAUAUACAAGAGGGACACUCAAGCUCAUCAAAACUAAUUUGACAACACCAUGGCUAAAAAAAGGACAAGAUGCAUAUAAAAUUACACAAGACAUAUUAAAGAAAAACUUAAGACUAACAUGGCUAAGCCACAUGAACCCCAACCAAUUCUAAUUUUGAAUAUAAGUUAAAAUUGUGCUACAUAAAUAUGUACUGUAGUAUUGAUUGUACAAAUGUUUCAUGUUUGAAUAUUAAGUAACUUAAUAAAAUUUUCUGUUAGACA
rnacentral:lncRNA from 1 species